GUGAUGGCUGGAUUCAUAAUAUUAUAACAAACUGCUGGAAACAACUUAGACAUUUACCUUACACCAGGCCCAGGUUAUGGCACACAGCCUGUUUGGGAAAAGAAAAUGAAAUAAUGGUGUUUGGUGGGAGCAAAGAUAACUUACUUUUCUUGGAUACAGGUCACUGUAAUGAUUUAUUGAUUUUUCAAACACAGCCCUAUUCACUGCUCAGGUCAUGUCUUGACUGCAUUGGGAAAAAUGCUACCAUUUUAAAAAGUCAGAUAUCUUUAUUACCUCCUAAACUUCUGCAGCAAGUUCUCAAAAGAAUAACCUUUUGGACUGCAGCCAAUUACCGAAAAGAGCAACGAGUCCUAAAAGAAGGGACAGAAAACAAGCACCAGUGGGUCAGUAGCCACUGAACGACUCCAGGUGCAGUAUGUCAAAGCGUCUUGAUGAGACCCCACAUCUGACCUUCCCCUCCUGUCACAGGCUCUAUUCAAAGGAUCAAAGCUGAAACAAAUGACUUGCUAAUGUGAAUACAUGAUGUGGGAUAUAUGGAAAUAAGAUGUAACUGAAGAUUUCUCUGUGUAUUUGUAAACCGAUUUACUUGUAACAGACAGACUACGUGUUCUUUCUGGAAAUAAGUACAGCAACAGCAGUUCUUACCUCAGUGUUUACUCUUCUGGAAGGGCAGAAAUUACCCUAAAAUCUUCAGAAAUCCUCUAACACAACUGUAGGUGUAGAUAUAAAAAUACUCACUAACUUCCAUUACUUUGUGGUCACCCAAGUGUCUCCUUAAAUAGCAUCAUCGGAACUUCCCCUCCCUUGUUGAUCAGGGAAGCAUCUUUAGGUAGUCCUGGCUCCACCACCCUCUCAGGACCACAUGGGAGGAGGUCGGUUUGUCUCACAGUCUUUGAAACAUUGGGGUGUGGGACAUUAGUGGCUUUUGAAACAUGGUAAAAUACACAUUGCCCUGGGGAAAAAGUGUUUCUAAAGUAAUGUUUGCAGGUAAUGUGGGGUGAUAAUCUCGUGUUUUUGACUCUCUGAUUCCUCAUUUGAGCUCUACAGAGUUGACGCUCUAGACACCACAAGUCCUGACAGUGACAGCUCCUUGCUGUCAGCAUUGUUUAUUCAGAAACGGGAGACUAUGUUAUGCUCCUCAAAAUGGUACUGUGGCCAUUUUGAGUCAUUUUCCUUCAUCUGCUCAGUCUUGUCCUUCCACUGACAACUUGUUAUGAUUGAUUAUUAAAGGGUUCAGUAUGUGACAUAUUCCCCUCACUGUCACCAUGUAAGUUGUCUCUAAACUUUAAAAUGCUGGGGAAGUUUUGGGUUUGUUUGGUUGGUUUUUUUGUUUUGUUUUGUUUUUUCCUUUUUUUUUUCGAGACAAGGUUAAAAUGCUGGGAAAGUAUAUUUCUGUAUUGUAUAUAAUUUAUAGUGGACAUUGUAGUAUUUCAUCAAACUGUAGAUAUGUUUUAUAUGUGCUGUAUCUUGGAUGUGAAAAGCUUCUAUUUGUGUAUUGGAAUAGUUUAUGUUUACAUUUUAUUUAUUGAACACAGUGUAUAGAAUUAUUGCUUCACAGUCAGUCAGUGUGGACCAGUCAGAGUUCAUUUCAGUGUAGGGCUUGCAACAUGACUCAGGAUGGAAAAUGGCUUGCUGCACAGGCCUGGUGUCCUGAGUUCCAUCCCUGGCACCAACAAAAGGUGGGAGGAAAGAACUAACACCAUGAUGGUUGCUCUCUGACCUCCACACAUGUGUUCAGACAUAUAAUGCAUUUACACACAAUAAUAUCAAAUAAAAAUUAAAAGCUUCACUGAAAUUUGAUUUCUUUCUUACCAUUUGUGGUCUGCAUAACAGACGUGGGAACUGAAUUCUACAAAUAAUAUACUUCUUGGGGGAAAUUACUAUUAUUAACUUAAAUAUCAGCAUUUAACAACUAAGAUGCACGUGCACACACACACAAAGGCAGAACACUAUGGCACAGACGAUGUGGGAGACAUUUGGAGUCUCUGUACCUCACUGCAGGCAGCAAACAUUGGGGACUGGGGCUCAGUGCUCCUAACAGCUAGAUCCUACCUCCUGAUUUCCACAGAUGCCCAAAAUGUCACCACCAUCUGACGACCAAGUGUUACAUUCAAGAGCUUGUGAGGAGCUUUCAUUUUCAAACCAUGUAAUUCUACCCCUAGCCCCAAAGCCUCAUGACCAUUUGUGCGUUCAGUUUACCUCCUAGAGUCCCAGCAACGCCGAGACCCUCAGAAACCCCAGUUCCAAGUCCCCAAGACUCAUCUCUCGGCCUUGGGGUUGCCUAAGCAUCAUCCCCAUGGAUCCAGCUGACAGCAGAGGAGACAAAGCCCUGGACCUGGAAUCUGAUCAUGCCUGGCUUCAGGGUGUCCCUGCUCCAUACCUUGGAAUCUUCUAGCACUUGCCGUCAGGAUGACAGACACUGAGGCACAACACCUGGUUGCUGUGGCCCAGGAGAGAUGCCUCCUGGGAACAGGUGCUGAUCUUUCAGGUGAGUGUGGUGGUUUGAGUGAGAGUGACCCCCAUAGGCUCGUAGGGAGUGGCCUUGUUGGAGGAGGUGCUUCUAAAUGUGGCACUGAGCCCCAGUCCUUGAUGUUUGCUGCCCUCAGUGAGGUACAGAGGCUCCGAAUGUCUCCCACAUCGUCUGUGCCAUAGUGUUCUGCCUUUGUGUGUGUGUGUUUGUGUUUGUUUGUGUGUGUGUGUGUGUGUGUCUUAGUUAUUAAAUGCUGAUAUUUUAGUUCAUAAUAAUAAUAUUCCCCAAGAAGUAUAUUAUUUGUAAAAUUCAGUUCCCAUGUCUGUUAUGCAGACUAAAAAUGGUAAGAAAAGGCCAGGCAUUGGUGGCGCAAGCCUUUAAUCCAGGCACUUGGGAGGCAGAGGCAGGCGGAUCUCUGUGAGUUCGAGGCCAGCCUGGUCUCCAGAGCGAGUGCCAGGAUAGGCUCCAAAGCUACACAGAGAAACCCUGUCUCAAAAAAACAAAACAAACAAACAAAAAAAUGGUACGAAAAAAACUUAAAAUUCACACUGAAAUGUCUCUAGGAUGGGCAUUGAGGUUUCAGAAACUCAAGCCAGACCCAGCGUCACUC
ensembl:lincRNA